rnacentral:rRNA from 1 species
GCCUAAUACAUGCAAGUAGAACGCUGAAGAGAGGAGCUUGCUCUUCUUGGAUGAGUUGCGAACGGGUGAGUAACGCGUAGGUAACCUGCCUUGUAGCGGGGGAUAACUAUUGGAGACGAUAGCUAAUACCGCAUAACAAUGGAUGACACAUGUCAUUUAUUUGAAAGGGGCAAAUGCUCCACUACAAGAUGGACCUGCGUUGUAUUAGCUAGUAGGUGAGGUAACGGCUCACCUAGGCGACGAUACAUAGCCGACCUGAGAGGGUGAUCGGCCACACUGGGACUGAGACACGGCCCAGACUCCUACGGGAGGCAGCAGUAGGGAAUCUUCGGCAAUGGGGGCAACCCUGACCGAGCAACGCCGCGUGAGUGAAGAAGGUUUUCGGAUCGUAAAGCUCUGUUGUAAGUCAAGAACGAGUGUGAGAGUGGAAAGUUCACACUGUGACGGUAGCUUACCAGAAAGGGACGGCUAACUACGUGCCAGCAGCCGCGGUAAUACGUAGGUCCCGAGCGUUGUCCGGAUUUAUUGGGCGUAAAGCGAGCGCAGGCGGUUUGAUAAGUCUGAAGUUAAAGGCUGUGGCUCAACCAUAGUUCGCUUUGGAAACUGUCAAACUUGAGUGCAGAAGGGGAGAGUGGAAUUCCAUGUGUAGCGGUGAAAUGCGUAGAUAUAUGGAGGAACACCGGUGGCGAAAGCGGCUCUCUGGUCUGUAACUGACGCUGAGGCUCGAAAGCGUGGGGAGCGAACAGGAUUAGAUACCCUGGUAGUCCACGCCGUAAACGAUGAGUGCUAGGUGUUGGAUCCUUUCCGGGAUUCAGUGCCGCAGCUAACGCAUCAAGCACUCCGCCUGGGGAGUACGACCGCAAGGUUGAAACUCAAAGGAAUUGACGGGGGCCCGCACAAGCGGUGGAGCAUGUGGUUUAAUUCGAAGCAACGCGAAGAACCUUACCAGGUCUUGACAUCCCGAUGCUAUUUCUAGAGAUAGAAAGUUACUUCGGUACAUCGGUGACAGGUGGUGCGUGGUUGUCGUCAGCUCGUGUCGUGAGAUGUUGGGUUAAGUCCCGCAACGAGCGCAACCCCUAUUGUUAGUUGCCAUCAUUCAGUUGGGCACUCUAGCGAGACUGCCGGUAAUAAACCGGAGGAAGGUGGGGAUGACGUCAAAUCAUCAUGCCCCUUAUGACCUGGGCUACACACGUGCUACAAUGGUUGGUACAACGAGUUGCGAGUCGGUGACGGCAAGCUAAUCUCUUAAAGCCAAUCUCAGUUCGGAUUGUAGGCUGCAACUCGCCUACAUGAAGUCGGAAUCGCUAGUAAUCGCGGAUCAGCACGCCGCGGUGAAUACGUUCCCGGGCCUUGUACACACCGCCCGUCACACCACGAGAGUUUGUAACACCCGAAGUCGGUGAGGUAACCUUUUGGAGCCAGCCGCCUAAGGUGGGAUAGAUGAUUGGGGUGAAGUCAUAACA